rnacentral:rRNA from 1 species
GGGACACGUGGUAUCCUGUCUGAAUAUGGGGGGACCAUCCUCCAAGGCUAAAUACUCCUGACUGACCGAUAGUGAACCAGUACCGUGAGGGAAAGGCGAAAAGAACCCCGGCGAGGGGAGUGAAAAAGAACCUGAAACCGUGUACGUACAAGCAGUGGGAGCACCUUCGGGUGUGACUGCGUACCUUUUGUAUAAUGGGUCAGCGACUUAUAUUCUGUAGCAAGGUUAACCGUAUAGGGGAGCCGCAGGGAAACCGAGUCUUAACUGGGCGUUAAGUUGCAGGGUAUAGACCCGAAACCCGGUGAUCUAGCCAUGGGCAGGUUGAAGGUUGGGUAACACUAACUGGAGGACCGAACCGACUAAUGUUGAAAAAUUAGCGGAUGACUUGUGGCUGGGGGUGAAAGGCCAAUCAAACCGGGAGAUAGCUGGUUCUCCCCGAAAGCUAUUUAGGUAGCGCCUCGUGAAUUCAUCUUCGGGGGUAGAGCACUGUUUCGGCUAGGGGGUCAUCCCGACUUACCAACCCGAUGCAAACUACGAAUACCGAAGAAUGUUAUCACGGGAGACACACGGCGGGUGCUAACGUCCGUCGUGAAGAGGGAAACAACCCAGACCGCCAGCUAAGGUCCCAAAGUCAUGGUUAAGUGGGAAACGAUGUGGGAAGGCACAGACAGCCAGGAUGUUGGCUUAGAAGCAGCCAUCAUUUAAAGAAAGCGUAAUAGCUCACUGGUCGAGUCGGCCUGCGCGGAAGAUGUAACGGGGCUAAACCAUGCACCGAAGCUGCGGCAGCGACACUAUG